GAGAAUUUCCCUUAGCCAUCAGAAGCCAUUUCAUCUUGAAAUGCCUGGGAGGUAAUUUCUUCAUCCUAGUACUGUCCUUAUCCAGCCAAUAAUGGAGUCAUAAAAGUGUACAAUAUUCUAGGCCUCCUGCUUCAGUUUUUGAGGACACAAUUUAAGCUCCAUUACUUACAUCUGGAGAGCUGCGUGUCUUUUUAUCACUAUCCUAGAGUAACUAAUGGAAACAGCUUCAGGAAACAGACUUAAAGAUGGGUUUCAUCGAUUGGAUUGAAAAUAUAUUUGAGAGCAUUGGAGAUAUCAUUCUUGCUGUGAGAGAUGGAAAUAAUACAUGUUGUGUGUUGGCAACAUGGUUAUUCAAAUAAUUACUGGUGGAAGCAUGAAAUAAAAG
rnacentral:lncRNA from 1 species